GGGCAGCAGUAAGGAAUAUUGGACAAUGGACGCAAGUCUGAUCCAGCCAUGCCGCGUGAAGGAUUAAGGUCCUCUGGAUUGUAAACUUCUUUUAUAAGGGACGAAAAAAGGUCUUUCUAGAUCGUCUGACGGUACCUUAUGAAUAAGCACCGGCUAACUCCGUGCCAGCAGCCGCGGUAAUACGGAGGGUGCAAGCGUUAUCCGGAUUCACUGGGUUUAAAGGGUGCGUAGGCGGGCAGGUAAGUCAGUGGUGAAAUCCUAGAGCUCAACUCUAGAACUGCCAUUGAUACUAUCUGUCUUGAAUAUUGUGGAGGUAAGCGGAAUAUGUCAUGUAGCGGUGAAAUGCUUAGAUAUGACAUAGAACACCUAUUGCGAAGGCAGCUUACUACGCAUAUAUUGACGCUGAGGCACGAAAGCGUGGGGAUCAAACAGGAUUAGAUACCCCGGUAGUC
rnacentral:rRNA from 1 species